ACCUGGCUGGCUCAGUCCGUACAGCAUGAGACUCUUGAUCUCAGCGUUGUAAGUUAGAGUCCCACGUUGGGUA
rnacentral:tRNA from 1 species